rnacentral:rRNA from 1 species
AUUGAACGCUGGCGGAAUGCUUUACACAUGCAAGUCGAACGGUAGAGGGGCAACCCUUGAGAGUGGCGAACGGGUGAGUAAUGUAUCGGAACAUGCCCAGUCGUGGGGGAUAACGUAGCGAAAGUUACGCUAAUACCGCAUACGAUCUAUGGAUGAAAGCGGGGGAUCGCAAGACCUCGCGCGAUUGGUGUGGCCGAUAUCAGAUUAGGUAAUUGGUGGGGUAAAGGCCUACCAAGCCGACGAUCUGUAGCUGGUCUGAGAAGACGACCAUCCACACUGGGACUGAGACACGGCACAGACGCCUCCGGGAGGCAGCAGUGGGGAAUUGUGGACAAUGGGGGCAAGCCUGAUCCAGCCAUUCCGCGUGCAGGAAGAAGGCCUUCGGGUUGUAAACUGCUUUUGUACGGAACGAAACGCGCUGAGCUAAUACCUCGGCGUAAUGACGGUACCGUAAGAAUAGCACCGGCUAACUACGUGCCAGCCGCCGCAGUAAUAC